UAAUACGGAGGGGGCUAGCGUUACUCGGAAUUACUGGGCGUAAAGCGAGCGUAGGCGGUUUAAUAAGUUGAGGGUGAAAGCCCGGGGCUCAACCCCGGAAAUGCCCUCAAAACUAUUAGACUAGAGGACGGGAGAGGGGAGUGGAACUCCCAGUGUAGAGGUGAAAUUCGUAGAUAUUGGGAAGAACACCAGUGGCGAAGGCGACUCUCUGGACCGUUUCUGACGCUAAGGCUCGAAAGCGUGGGUAGCAAACAGGAUUAGAUACCCUGGUAGUCCACGCCGUAAACGAUGAUUGCUAGACGUUGGGGGGAACGCCUCUCAGUGUCGUCGCUAACGCAUUAAGCAAUCCGCCUGGGGAGUACGGUCGCAAGAUUA
rnacentral:rRNA from 1 species